rnacentral:rRNA from 1 species
GACGAACGCUGGCGGCGUGCUUAACACAUGCAAGUCGAACGCUGAAGCUCAGCUUUUGUUGGGUGGAUGAGUGGCGAACGGGUGAGUAACACGUGAGUAACCUGCCUCCUUCUUUGGGAUAACGCCCGGAAACGGGUGCUAAUACUGGAUAUUCACUGGUCUUCGCAUGGGGGUUGGUGGAAAGGGUUUUUCUGGUGGGGGAUGGGCUCGCGGCCUAUCAGCUUGUUGGUGGGGUGAUGGCCUACCAAGGCUUUGACGGGUAGCCGGCCUGAGAGGGUGACCGGUCACAUAGGGACUGAGAUACGGCCCAGACUCCUACGGGAGGCAGCAGUGGGGAAUAUUGCACAAUGGGCGCAAGCCUGAUGCAGCGACGCCGCGUGAGGGAUGGAGGCCUUCGGGUUGUGAACCUCUUUCGCUCAUGGUCAAGCCGCAACAAUGGUUGUGGUGAGGGUAGUGGGUAAAGAAGCGCCGGCUAACUACGUG